rnacentral:rRNA from 1 species
CAGUCGCCACGGUAAAACGUAGGGUGCAAGCGUUAAUCGGAAUUACUGGGCGUAAAGCGUGCGCAGGCGGUUUUGUAAGACAGAGGUGAAAUCCCCGGGCUCAACCUGGGAACUGCCUUUGUGACUGCAAGGCUAGAGUACGGCAGAGGGGGAUGGAAUUCCGCGUGUAGCAGUGAAAUGCGUAGAUAUGCGGAGGUACACCGAUGGCGAAGGCAAUCCCCUGGGCCUGUACUGACGCUCAUGCACGAAAGCGUGGGGAGCAAACAGGAUUAGAGACCCCCGUAGUCCCUGUCUCUUAUAC